rnacentral:rRNA from 1 species
AUUGAACGCUGGCGGCAGGCCUAACACAUGCAAGUCGAACGGUAACAGGAAACAGCUUGCUGUUUCGCUGACGAGUGGCGGACGGGUGAGUAAUGUCUGGGAAACUGCCUGAUGGAGGGGGAUAACUACUGGAAACGGUAGCUAAUACCGCAUAACGUCGCAAGACCAGAGAGGGGGACCUUCGGGCCUCUUGCCAGCGGAUGUGCCCAGAUGGGAUUAGCUAGUAGGUGGGGUAACGGCUCACCUAGGCGACGAUCCCUAGCUGGUCUGAGAGGAUGACCAGCCACACUGGAACUGAGACACGGUCCAGACUCCUACGGGAGGCAGCAGUGGGGAAUAUUGCACAAUGGGCGCAAGCCUGAUGCAGCCAUGCCGCGUGUAUGAAGAAGGCCUUCGGGUUGUAAAGUACUUUCAGCGGGGAGGAAGGGAGUAAAGUCAAUACCUUUGCUCAUUGACGUUACCCGCAGAAGAAGCACCGGCUAACUCCGUGCCAGCCGCCGCAGUAA